AUUGAACGCUGGCGGCAGGCCUAACACAUGCAAGUCGAACGAGUGGCGGACGGGUGAGUAAUGUCUGUGAACCUGCCUGAUGGAGGGGGAUAACUACUGGAAACGGUAGCUAAUCCCGCAUACUAUCGGAUGUGCCCAGAUGGGCUUAGCUAGUUGGUGGGGUAAUGGCUCACCUAGGCGACGAUCCCUAGCUGGUCUGAGAGGAUGACCAGCCACACUGGAACUGAGACACGGUCCAGACUCCUACGGGAGGCAGCAGUGGAGAAUAUUGCACAAUGGGAGCAAGGCUGAUGCAGCCAUGCCGCGUGUAUGAAGAAGGCCUUCGGGUUGUAAAGUACUUUCAGCGGGGAGGCGUUAGCCGCAGAAGAAGCACCGGCUAACUCCGUGCCAGCAGCCGCGGUAAUUC
rnacentral:rRNA from 1 species